rnacentral:rRNA from 1 species
ACACGACUACAUUAGAUACCCCUGUAGUCCCAGCCGUAAACUAUGCGCGUUAGGUGUAUCGGUGACCACGAGUUACCGAGGUGCCGAAGGGAAACCGUGAAACGUGCCGCCUGGGAAGUACGGUCGCAAGGCUGAAACUUAAAGGAAUUGGCGGGGAGCACCACAACGGGUGGAGCCUGCGGUUUAAUUGGACUCAACGCCGGGAAGCUCACCGGAUAAGACAGCGGAAUGAUUGCCGGGCUGAAGACUCUGCAUGACUAGCUG